UACAGAGGGGGCAAGCGUUGUUCGGAAUUACUGGGCGUAAAGGGCGCGUAGGCGGCCGCCUAAGUCAGACGUGAAAUCCCUCGGCUCAACCGGGGAACUGCGUCUGAUACUGGGUGGCUUGAAUCCGGGAGAGGGAUGCGGAAUUCCAGGUGUAGCGGUGGAAUGCGUAGAGAUCCGGAGGAAGACCGGUGGCGAAGGCGGCCUGCUGGGCAGUUUCUGACACUGAUGCGCGACAGCGUGGGGAGCAAACAGG
rnacentral:rRNA from 1 species